rnacentral:lncRNA from 1 species
CACACUCUCUCGCCUCACGCAAUGGCUGCCUCCACCAUGGCGAUCUCCUCCACCAUGGCCGGCACCCCCAUCAAGGUGGGCUCCUUCGGCGAGGGCCGCAUCACCAUGCGCAAGACCGCGGCCAAGCCCAAGGUGGCGGCGUCCGGCAGCCCGUGGUACGGCCCCGACCGCGUCAAGUACCUCGGCCCCUUCUCCGGCGAGCCCCCGAGCUACCUGACCGGCGAGUUCCCCGGCGACUACGGCUGGGACACCGCUGGGCUGUCCGCUGACCCCGAGACCUUCGCCAAGAACCGCGAGUUGGAGGUCAUCCACUCCCGCUGGGCCAUGCUCGGCGCGCUCGGCUGCGUCUUCCCCGAGCUGCUCGCCCGCAACGGCGUCAAGUUCGGCGAGGCCGUCUGGUUCAAGGCCGGCUCCCAGAUCUUUAGCGAGGGCGGCCUCGACUACCUCGGCAACCCCAGCCUUAUCCAUGCGCAGAGCAUCCUCGCCAUCUGGGCCUGCCAGGUCGUGCUCAUGGGCGCCGUCGAGGGCUACCGCAUUGCCGGCGGCCCACUCGGCGAGGUCGUCGACCCGCUCUACCCCGGCGGCAGCUUCGACCCCCUCGGCCUGGCCGACGACCCUGAGGCCUUCGCCGAGCUCAAGGUCAAGGAGCUCAAGAAUGGCCGCCUCGCCAUGUUCUCCAUGUUCGGAUUCUUCGUCCAGGCCAUCGUCACCGGCAAGGGCCCGCUCGAGAACCUGGCCGACCACCUCGCCGACCCAGUCAACAACAACGCCUGGGCCUACGCCACCAACUUCGUCCCCGGCAACUAAGCUCGCCAUUCGCCUCUGCAACUCCAUUGUCUUCCGGCCGGGAGGGGCGUACGUGGAUUGGUUGAUGCUGCAAGCGAGCUGCCGCAUGCGUGUCUUGUUUCACGUUGCAUUUCAGGGGCAAGUCGAGAUGAUGAGUCGGCGUUGUACACUAAGAU